AUGGGUAUAAGAUACCAAACAACAACUGUGGCAAGGACACCGUGAAUCUAAAAUCCGACAACAAUCAACUCUCAGCAAGAAUCACAAACAGCUACAACCGUUAAUACCCGAAUGUUAAGUACACAAGUAAAUCAAUGGGCACAUUAUACUUCUUAAAUUACUAUAAGGUCUGGAAUUUGAUAUACUAGGCACUAUACUACUUGCUAACUUCUCAAACAUAUCAUGAGAACACUCUGAUCUUGUGGAUAAAAAAGAACAGCCCUUCCAUCAGAGAAGAGACCUUUCCGUCGACACAGGAUCGAGUUUAUAACCACCUACAAGAGGUUAAGCUCUCUACACUACAUGAUUGAACACAUAUCCAAUCCAGUUGAACCACCCUUGUCCUGAUGUCCUUCACUGGUCUUGCCUCAUUACCCUUCACUCCGUCGUACACAUACAAGUUCUUAUAUCCUGUGGGACCCAUGAGCUGUGCUCACCACACAAGAUGGCACGAUUCACAGCUUCCCUAGUUGAAAUCUAUUAGCCUAAAGAUAUAGUUAAUGCCAUGGUAAACACUCUUUCACCUGAAUUCAAGCCUUACUGCAUUCAUAAAAUAUGGAGGACCAGUAACAUCUUCAGGUUCAGAGAUGAUUACCACUAUUUGGUUAUGUACCCAUGUAAGCUAAAAGCACUGACUGGAAAAUGUCAAGGACACCAUACAGCUCAAAUUGCAGAAAUGGAAGACCAAAUUAAUUGUUUAAGACAAAUGUGAUUUACAUAAAUUAUGCUUGCUUGAAUACUAGUGUUUUGGUUGCUCUCCAAAAAUGGAUGGAAUACAGGUACUGAUAAAACUGAUAAAAAUGUAAUGUGUGUGUGUGUGUGUGUGGAAAGAGAAAGAGAGAGAGAGAGAGCAUGCAGCUCAUUUCAGGUCAAUCUGAUGUCAAUUCAGUUUAUAAAAUCUUUACUAUCUUAUGAAGAAAAAUCAAAAUCAAUGUUCAAAAUAUUGAAGUUGAUCCACAUCAUCCAGAGUCUCUUUCUUUAAUUAGUUGUUACAUUUGGAGUUCACUUGUCCAUUGGUUGACUACUUGGCUUGUCUAAAAAUUAAUUAUGUAAAUCAUCCUAUAUGGUAGAAUCAUUGCAUCACUCGAUAAAUGAUUAAAUGCUUUCAGGAUCUCAUAAUUUAUCACAUAAUUCUGAGGAAACAAAAUCACAUAAAAAAGUUUGAUCAUUGAUUUUUGACUUGGUGUUUUGAUCUUUGUAUGAGAAUUUUCAAAUCAAAAUGUGACUAACCACAUUUAUGUGUUUGUGUGUAUAUAUGUAUGUAUGUGUGUGUGUGUGCGCGCGCGUGCGCGCUUUCAACAUAAAGAACCUAAGUGAAAUUAAUCAAGUAAACAUGCAUGUCUAAAAUGUUUGAUUUUGAACCAAAAAAAACAGGCAGGACAGAGCUGAAUAAGUAUGACUACAACUAUGCAGGACCUUAAAUGUUUAAUUUCCUAUAAAAAAAAUUGAUUUAUUGUAGCAUAACCCUCAUGGAUUUAGAGUUGAUAUCUCCUCAAACCUCAGUCAGGCACACACAAUACAGAUUAAAUAUCCAUAAAUAUCAAGACAUAAUGACGUGUUAGAAGUCUAAACACCUGAUAGUAAUGAAUGUGACGAAAGAGAAUGACUCAAUUAUAAUUAUUGCUUAAUUCUUCUUCACUUUCAUGUUUAUCAUUUUCACCCUCUCUAUGUGUGCACUCUUGUCACCAUAGACCCUAUCAAUUGAACCAACAGCUUAUUCUACGUCAAAUACAAACCAGAGAAUAAAACCUCUUUAUCA